rnacentral:rRNA from 1 species
CAACUCGCCUACAUGAAGUCGGAGUUGCUAGUAAUCGCGGAUCAGAAUGCCGCGGUGAAUGCGUUCCCGGGUCUUGUACACACCGCCCGUCACACCAUGGAAGUUGGGGGGCGCCCCGAAGUUGCCUAAGAAAUAAGGUACCUAAGGCGAAACCAAUGACUGGGGUGAAGUCGUAACAAGGUAAC